rnacentral:tRNA from 1 species
GCGGGGAUGCCGGAGCGGCCAAAUUAAGCCAAGCAUGACUUGGUUUUAGGCCAUACGGGACAGACUCAAGAUCUGUUGGCUUAGUGCCUACGUGGGUUCAAAUCCUACUCCCCGCA